GACUAAGGUUUCCUGGGGAAGGCUCGUCCUCCCAGGGUUAGUCGGGACCUAAGCCGAGGCCGAGAGGCGUAGGCGAUGGACAACAGGUUGAGAUUCCUGUACUAGUUAAACUUGUUUGAAUAAUGGAGGGACGCAGGAGGCUAGAGAUGCGCACUGUUGGAUAUGUGCGUCCAAGCAAUAAGUCUGUUGGUGAGUCAAAUG
rnacentral:rRNA from 1 species